UACGAAGGGGGCUAGCGUUGCUCGGAAUCACUGGGCGUAAAGGGUGCGUAGGCGGCCGAUCAAGUCGGAGGUGAAAUCCCUCGGCUCAACUGAGGAAUUGCCUUCGAUACUGUUCGGCUUGAGUCCUGGAGAGGGUAGCGGAAUUCCCGGUGUAGCGGUGAAAUGCGUAGAGACCGGGAAGAACACCAGUGGCGAAGGCGGCUACCUGGACAGGUACUGACGCUGAAGCGCGAAAGCUAGGGGAGCAAACAGG
rnacentral:rRNA from 1 species